rnacentral:lncRNA from 1 species
CCUUAUUGGUUUUGUAGCUAUCCAGCUUUCAUAACCCCUAGGUAAGUUGAGCAUUGGUCAGAGAUGCUGGAAGCCACGUAAGAACAGUUCCUGUGACCCUCUUCCCAAAGGGCAUGGAGUGAACAGGAAACUACAGCCGGACUAGAGGAAGGCAGCAAGGUUAUUGGCAAGGAUUGUACCUUUAGAAGACACAUCACACCAGUCCAUUGUCAACUGCUUUGGCUCCAAACCAUUUCUGCUCGUUGAUUCUCAUUCUGUUUUCACUUUAAGGCUCUUUGCUUUUUGGACAAUGGCAACUGGGAAUCUCAUAAAACAAUAUUUCUGAUGAAGCAACUUGCUCCAUCUGCCUGGAACAUUUCAAAGAUUCAGUGACUGUGGACUGUGGGCACAAUUUCUGCCAAGCUUGCCUCACCCAGUGCUUGGAGAAGGCANAACCUUUGUGCCCUNAGUGUAGACAAACUAUUUCANAAGGAAACUUCAGACCAAACUGUCAGCUGGCAAAUCUUGUGGAGCUGAUCAAAAAGCUUCAGCAGGAAAAGCAAGAGGAGGAGAAAAGGGGAGUUUGUGGGAAGCACCAGGAGCCCCUGAAGCUNUUCUGCAAGGAGGACAGAAUGUCCAUCUGUGUGGUGUAUCACUUAUCCAAGGAACACAAAAAUCACAAUGUGCUUCCUCUGGAUGAGGCUCCCAAAGAGUAUAAGGUACCAAAGAGUAUAAGUGCAUGUGCUUCUAGAUCGAGAUAGAGCUCACCUCUGUCUUUGUAUCUAUGGAAACCAGAGAAGGGUGAUGGGAGGAAAGAACUGCUAGAGUCUUCCAUUCAAGCCAGAGUCAUCGAUACUAUGCCAGGUGUACCACACAAGCAAGAUCCUGCAAGCUACGCUUCAGCAAUAUGCAAGCCAGGACUAACACAAGUGUAACCUGGCUUUUGAAGAUACAAAAUUGCCAAUAUUCUCUGNAUUAUAAAGAAAGCAAGGAAGUUCCAGACAAACACCUACUUCAUUGACUGCNCUAAAGCCUUUGGCUGUGUAGACCACAACAAAUUUCGGCAAGUUCUUNAAGAGAUAGGAGCUCCAGAUCACUUGCCUGUCUCCUGAGGGACCUGUNUGAGGGUCAAGAAGCAANGGUUAGAACAAAAUUUGGAACCACUGAUUGGUUCAAGAUUGGGAAACCACCCUUCUCUUAAGAG